rnacentral:miRNA from 1 species
GAAGCUUCACAGAAGCUUCACAGAAGCUUUACAAAAGCUUUACAAAAGCUUCUGUGAAGCUUCUGUGAAGCUUC